CAAAUUUCUGCCCUAUCAAGUUUCGAUGGUAGGAUAGAGGCCUACCAUGCUUUUUACGGGUAACGGCGAAUUAGGGUUCGAUUCCGGAGAGGGAGCCUGAGAAACGGCUACCACAUCUAAGGAAGGCAGCAGGCGCGCAAAUUACCCAAUCCUGAUUCAGGGAGGUAGUGACAAUAAAUAACAAUCCAGGACUUCGGUCUUGGAAUUGGAAUGAGAACAAUUUAAAUCUCUUAUCGAGGAACAAUUGGAGGGCAAGUCUGGUGCCAGCAGCCGCGGUAAUUCCAGCUCCAAUAGCGUAUAUUAAAGUUGUUGCAGUUAAAUAGCUCGUAGUUGAAUCUUGGGGCUGGUUUGGCGGUCGCGUCUUUGACGUGUACUGUCGGCCGGUUCUUUUACUUGUGGGGAACGUAUGUGCCCUUUGCGGGGUGUGUACGGGAACCAUGGCUGUUACUUUGAAAAAAUUAGAGUGUUUAAAGCGGGCGUAAAGCCUGUAUACAUUAGCAUGGAAUAAUAGAAUAGGACUUUGGUUAAUUAG
rnacentral:rRNA from 1 species